rnacentral:tRNA from 1 species
GCCGGAGUGGCGGAAUUGGCAGACGCGUCGGAUUCAAAAUCCGAUUCCUUCACGGGAGUGGGAGUUCAAGUCUCCCCUCCGGCA